GACGAACGCUGGCGGCGUGCUUAACACAUGCAAGUCGAACGGAAAGGCCCUGCUUUUGUGGGGUGCUCGAGUGGCGAACGGGUGAGUAACACGUGAGUAACCUGCCCUUGACUUUGGGAUAACUUCAGGAAACUGGGGCUAAUACCGGAUAGGGGCUCCUGCUGCAUGGUGGGGGUUGGAAAGUUUCGGCGGUUGGGGAUGGACUCGCGGCCUAUCAGCUUGUUGGUGGGGUAGUGGCUUACCAAGGCUUUGACGGGUAGCCGGCCUGAGAGGGUGACCGGCCACAUUGGGACUGAGAUACGGCCCAGACUCCUACGGGAGGCAGCAGUGGGGAAUAUUGCACAAUGGGCGGAAGCCUGAUGCAGCAACGCCGCGUGCGGGAUGACGGCCUUCGGGUUGUAAACCGCUUUCGCCUGUGACGAAGCGUGAGUGACGGUAAUGGGUAAAGAAGCACCGGCUAACUACGUG
rnacentral:rRNA from 1 species